GUUGUUGUGGCCGAGUGGUUAAGUGCGAUGGAGUAGAAGAAUCCAUUGGGGUCUCCCCGCGCAAGUUCGAAUCCUGCCAACAACG